UGUGCAGGUGGGGUAAUAAGUCAGUAGUGAAAGCCCCGACUCAAUCGGGGAACUGCCAUAGAUACUGUUAUUCUUGAGUGUGGUUGAGGCGGAUGGAAUAUGACAUGUAGCGGUGAAAUGCUUAGAUAUGUCAUAGAACACCGAUCGCGAAGGCAGUCCGCCAAACCAUUACUGACACUGAAACACGAAAGUAGCGGGAUCAAACA
rnacentral:rRNA from 1 species